GUUUCGCACUUUUCUGUCUGCUCGGCGCUGUGGCAUGGGUUGUGGAUGGAAAUCCACAAGCUGAAGAAGAAGCAGCACCACAGCCUAUUGCUUUUAAAGUUUUCACUUAUAAUGACACUUCGUAUGCAGUGGGCCUCUACAACAAGGUUAACUGGUAUCAGGCCGAGCUCAUUUGUGCCUCCCAGGACUAUACUCUAGUUGCCAUACCCUCUGAAGUUAUACAAAACCGUAUAAUGAAUUGGAUAGAUGCCAGCGUCAAUGAAUAUUUGCCCUCGCUUGGUGAUGAUCCAUUGUGGACCUCAGGCACAAACCAGGGAGUCACGACUCAAUAUAUAUGGCAAAGUAGUGGAAGAUCUUUCACCUAUAGAAACUUUGAGACAAAUACACCUACAACAACCCCUCGUUGCAUCGCAGUUAAUGGAUCAACCGGAACCUGGUCUGACCACGACUGUAGAGAGCAGCGUUACUUUUUGUGCGAGAAGGUGACAAAAGAAACUUCAUGUUAAUGAAAUAAAAACCAUUCCACAAAAUUAAUUA